UAACAUUGGGAUACACAUUUUAGGAGUACUUUCAAAUCACUUUAGAGAAUAUCGCCUAUACGUCAAAAAAUGCAUACUUUUUAGGUAUAGUUGAGGAGUAUUAUUUACGCUUUUUGAAGUAUGCAUACAAAACUUAAAAUGCGUAAAAAGUAACCUAUAGUGAGAAAAGAAAAUUUCCGGUCUGUUGUCAUUACCAAAAUUAGCUUUUACGGCUGUUGUCAAUUUAUUUGCUAAAUUAUUAACAUUUUAAAUGUUUUUCGAUCGAGGCUUCGAUGCUGAGCGGUAUAUAGGGAGAUUGUGCAAAACUUGUAAGUAACAAAGUAAUCCAUUUGCCUUCAAGUUUUCUGAAUCCAUCAUUUUCAAUCGAAAGGUCUUUAUUGUCCUAUGGCCGGAUACCCCAGCAAAUCAACCGGAUCCUCAUAUCAGGAACCAAUUAUUAGUUCCUGCUCAUAUGACGAUGCUCAAGGCCGAGCUCAAGGCUUAUGUAUUCUGUGAGCUCCUCCGUUUGCUCUGUAAUGAAAGCGAGCUACGACAAGGAUUCUGGACAAAAGUUUCUUCACUUAUAACUAACUGACUCGGCAGACGUUAUCAUGAAUAGUGAUAAAUAUUCUCCGACAAAAUUUGCUGAAGGAAUGAGGAAAAUCUAUCCAGCCGUUUCAAAGUUAUUCGGAUUCGACCACAAAGAUUAUUCCUAAUAUUUGAUGUAUAUGAUACACUCAUUUAGUUUAUUCAUAAAGUGCAGUAUAAGCACGAACUCUGAAAUGUUAUAAUUAUAAAACUACGAAAAUAAAUAACUAAAAAGAUGUCACUGUUACAUCUAUUGAAUGAAA